rnacentral:lncRNA from 1 species
UCAUGUUCAAGUAAAACCGAAAUAAAGUAUAUAUAUAUAAAUAUGUUUGUAUGUAUGUAUGUAUGUAUGUAUAUAUGUAUGUAUGUGUGUGUGUGUGUGUGUAUGUUUGUAUGUAUGUAUAUUUUGUGUAAUGCAUAAUUACCCUGAUGUUCCUACGCGUAGGCAGCAAGUAUUUUCCAAGCAUGAGUUCAUCAUGGUGAUUUUUUUUUUAAGUUCCUGUUUGACUGUUUGACUGCUUGAUAUAUAUAAAGGCGCGAAUGAAGACAGAGAUCAUUAUCACUAGAAAGCAUCUCUGUGAAAACAACCAUGAGGACGCUAUUUCUUCUCAUAGUGCUCUCAUUUCACAUCGCGCUGUCUUUCAGCUUGCCGAAUAAGCCGAUUGUCAGAAUUAUCGUAAAGGAUCUCAACAAAUUAUCGCCAGAGUUGCGAUCAUCUCUACAUUCAACACUCUCUUUCAACCAGACAUGUGAUUGUGAUCUGCUGGCGAUGAAACAUCUGAAACAAAUGCUGGACAACAUAAAUCCAAAGGAUGUUUCUCCCAGUGAUAAGGAACAACUGGGCAGAAUUAUACUUAAUUUAGGGGCUGUACAUCAUAAAAAGAAGGAGGAGGAGAAGAACUGCUUGAAGAAAACCCACCAGCGUUUACGGAAAAGAACAACGACUGUGGUCCCUCACUAUGAAAAUCUUCAGCACUGGUUGAGAAAAUGUGAAUGAAAUAUCAAUCCAUAGCUGCUGAAAUGUUAAUGUAAUUUUAUUUAUUUAUUUAUUUAUUUAUUCAUUAUUUAUUGCUCAUUUAUUUUUUAUUUGGUAAUAUUGACUGAUUUUCUACUGAUCUGUAUUGAUGCAAAAACUGAGAAUGUAAAUGUAUCUCACAUCUAUUUCUAACAUUGUCUGUUAGAGUUUUUGUCUAGUGGACACAAUUGUUCUUUUGGUUCCAAUGUAUUGUAACAAUACUAAUUGUAAAAUUAUUUUAUGACAACUGAGGUGAAGAAGUAGGAUUUUAUUAUAAAAGCCCUCUCUUCAUUUCAAUGAAAUGACUUCAUAUCAGUACAAUGCACUAUAUUUUGUAGAUUUUAACUUAAAUAAAC